GACGUAGGGGACGAGCGUUGUCCGGAUUCAUUGGGCGUAAAGCGCGCGCAGGCGGCUCGGAAAGUCGGGUGUGAAAACCCGGGGCUCAACCCCGGGCCUGCAUCCGAUACUCCCGAGCUCGAGGCAGGCAGGGGAGAGCGGAAUCCUGGUGUAGCGGUGAAAUGCGCAGAUAUCAGGAGGAACACCGGUGGCGAAGGCGGCUCUCUGGGCCUGUCCUGACGCUCAGGCGCGAAAGCUAGGGGAGCGAACAGGAUUAGA
rnacentral:rRNA from 1 species